rnacentral:lncRNA from 1 species
CGCCUCCUGCGCAGCGGCUGGUGAGCCGGGCCCGGGGAAUCCGUGCUCUGUCCCGGGGACCGAGUCAGGUCGCCCAGGACAGAGGGACCGAGCGCCUAGGAUCGCUGGGACCUCGCGGCGGGGCGGUGGCGCCAGGAGCAGUGUGGACGCUUGCCGCCGCCGCCAGGUGACUGGAGUUAGCGCUUCCCGAGUCGCAGCCCCCUGGGGGAUGGGCGCUGCUAGGCCAGAUGGACGAGACGACCAAGAAAGUUUCCUCCCCUGGGGCCCUGAGGCCUUGGGUCAGCUCCGAGCUGAGGUGGUUGGGACCCCUGCAGGACACGGGGCAUUGAACACGGAGACCUCCUGGGCUGGUGAGACACACCCCGUGGACCCGAGUAUCCAGGACCCUGCCUUGUGGAGUGCAGUGAUGCUGCUGCUGAGAGCCCUCUCAGCACCCACCUGUUCUUAGAACCAAGCCCAGCCCACCCCCUUGCUCACUGUCCAGGAGUCCCCGUCUUUGGUUCUGAACCAGCCAUUUCUUGCCCCAGGCCUUAUAAGGCUCUCACUCACGGCCAUCUUGCACACUCUUCCGCACCAGUUUUGGUAGAUCCAGCUGUACCACCUUCAGGCCUCAGCUUCAGUGCUCCCUUCACUGGGGAUCCUCUGUCAUCUCCUCAUCGUGUUUAUUCUUUUGCCAGCAAGGACCACAAUCUGACUUAACCACCUCUUGUCAAACUUGUUCCUUUCUGCCUCCUGGGUGACUUGGGACGGCUGGGAGGAGAGGGACCCUUGUUUAUCGUAAUCACUGUUGGAUCCCAGUUCCUGGGGCAGUGAGUGGCACACAGUAAGGAGCUCAAUAAAUGCUUGUCAGAUAAAUGAAUGGAAGUAUGGGAGAGAGUAAGGAAAAAAUGGAACCUGAAGAGACUAGGGUGGAGAGGGAGCCGGGAGUAUGAGAAGGCUUCCCUCCCAGAGAAAGAGACUUUUAAGUGGGGU